AUUGAACGCUGGCGGCAUGCCUUACACAUGCAAGUCGAACGGCAGCAUGGGUGCUUGCACCUGAUGGCGAGUGGCGAACGGGUGAGUAAUGCAUCGGAACGUACCCGGAAGUGGGGGAUAACGUAGCGAAAGUUACGCUAAUACCGCAUAUUCUGUGAGCAGGAAAGAGGGGGAUCGCAAGACCUCUCGCUUUCGGAGCGGCCGAUGUCGGAUUAGCUAGUUGGCGGGGUAAAGGCCCACCAAGGCGACGAUCCGUAGCGGGUCUGAGAGGAUGAUCCGCCACACUGGGACUGAGACACGGCCCAGACUCCUACGGGAGGCAGCAGUGGGGAAUUUUGGACAAUGGGGGCAACCCUGAUCCAGCCAUGCCGCGUGAGUGAAGAAGGCCUUCGGGUUGUAAAGCUCUUUCGGCUGGGAAGAAAUCGCAUCUCCUAAUACGGGGUGUGGAUGACGGUACCAGCAUAAGAAGCACCGGCUAACUACGUGCCAGCCGCCGCGGUAAUAC
rnacentral:rRNA from 1 species